UUUGAAAUCUGACCGUUGGAACACGUGUCAGUUCCUUAGUGACCCAGGGUCAUUUUGGACAAAUCAGGUCGGGUUGCCUAGUGGCUAUAAAUAGCCCACCCCCUACACCAUAAAUUGGUGGCUGCUCAGAGUUUGUGCACGGCUUUUGUUGUUUGAGAGCAACCCACCUCGAAGCAUUUGAGAGAGAGAAAUCCUUGCGAGGAUAAAGCCCAAACACCCAGAGCCAAAGAGUGUUAGGCAUCACUGAAGUCUUUCUGUGUAAGUGCAUCUAGUGCCCCUUAGUGAUUUUGGUGUAUUGAAGACUUAUAGGUUAAGGGACUGAUACGUUUGUGAGUGUACACAGGUCUAUAAGUCUAUGAGGAGUUUGAUAUUUACAGAGAAAGUCGACCCGUAAAAAUGAAGUUCUUCGGGUGAAGACUUUGAUAUUCUGAAGACUUUCUGAAGACUUUGGAAGUGAAGAAAUUGGUGUGACCUUGAACACUUGAUAUUCAUUUGAGGAACAUGAAGCGCAAAGACUUUCAUUUUCGUAGUUUCAUUUUGUCUUCCUUGAGUCAUAGGAAACACCGUACAGUUAAAGGGGUCGAGGAAAUACUAAGGAAAAAUUUCCAUGUGAUGCUCAACUCAAAAUCCUACACCUACCAAUCCCUUCGAGUAAAGCCAUUGGAAAUCUCAUACAGUUCAGUCAAUUUCUUCAGUGACAGAGACGCAGUUCUUCUGAUCACUGAGGACUUUGCUCUGACUGAGGAGUUAGGAAUUCGCAAGUGCGAAUUGCCUACACAGUGAGGAACAUGAUAGCCCUGAGGAAUUUGAGAGUCAAAUUUCCGACCGUUGUUGUGCUGCGCGCCGGCUGUCCAAAAUAUCUUAUCCACCUAACGGUCAUAUCAGUGAAGGGCAUUUAUGUCUUAUCAUGUCGGGCUGCUCCCUAGGCUAUAAAUAGCCGCCCCCUACAACCACUAGUUGGUUGGAUGCUCCAAGAGAACUUGACACUUGUCAUUUGAGAGCAACCCAUCCUCCGAGGACUUUGAGCAAAAAUCAUCAAGUGAGGAAAAUCCGAAAACCAAGCCCCCACAAACCCAAAGUGAUUGAGCAUCACUGAAGAAAUUGAUACUGCAUGGAUCCGACGCUUGUUACCUUUGAAGACUGUGCUUCUUCCAGACGGUUAGGCAUCAAGGUCUAGAGCAUCCAAGAGGAAUUGUGGAUUGCCGAGUGACCAAGUCUGUGAAGGUUUGGAAGUCACCUGAAGACUUACCACGAGUGAUUGGACGAGACCUGCGUGGUCUUAGUUCAAGGAGAAUACGGUGAGGACUGGGUGUCCUGAGUUGCGGCUCAGAGAGUGGGUGUCCGGGACUGCGUGUCCUCGAGUUUAAAUACUCAGCCGCUCCAACCAGACGUACAACUGAGACAGCAGUUGGAACUGGUUUACCAAAUCAUUGUCUUCACCAACUAACUGGUUCUAUUUCCUCAACCCUUCCAUUUCCUCAUUACUGUGUUGUAUGUUGUUCAUAUCUGUGUUUGAAGACUUUGACUGAAGACUUUCUCAAAUUCCUCAGUUCAAUUUCUUCAGUCUGUUUGUCUUCAUCUUGUUAUCCUGUGUUUACGCUUUCUGUACUCUGUGCUUGUCUUCAUUUCAUCAUGAUGACCAUGCUCGCAUCCUGUUAUGCUUACUUCUGAGUACUUAUUCCGCUGCUAGUAGUUCUUCAUUAAGGAAUUUCCUCACCGGCAAAUUCCUCAUUGAAGAAUUCAUAAAAAUCGCCUAUUCACCCCCCUCUAGUCGAUAUAAUGCACUUUCAAUUGGUAUCAGAGCAAGGUACUCCCUUGUUCUGUGUGAUUUUGGUUUAACUGCCUGGAGUUUUAGUUAUGUCGACCGCAGGUAUGAUCAAGGUCUCGGCUGUGUGUCCUACCUUUGAUGGGACGGACUACCCCUACUGGAAGAACAAGAUGCGAAUGCAUCUUGAGGCAAUUGACAACGAUCUCAGGUAUGUUGUGGAAAAUGGUGUUCCCUCUGUCACACCCUCACUGAACGCUACCGAUGUGAAGAGAUUCAAGCAACUCAAUUCUCAAGCGAAGAAUAUCAUAUGUGGCCAUCUGAGUAAAGCACAGUAUGGAAGAGUGAGUGCUUUGGAAACUGCUAAGCUUAUCUGGGAUAGGCUGUCCAAAGUAAAUGAAGGAGUCUCAACUCAGCGUGACUCUCGAGUUGAUGUUCUUCGGAAUCUCUUCAACCGCUUCAAAAGACUCGACAAUGAAAAUGUACAACAAACCUUCGAUCACCUCACUGACAUUUCAAAUGAGCUUCAAGCCCUCGGUGCCACUGACAUCACUGAUCAUGAAGUUGUGAAGAAACUGUUGAGAUCGCUUGAUUCCUCAUUUCAUACUCUGGGACUGAUGAUACAAGAACAUGCUGACUACAAGUCUCUUGAUCCUGCCGAUAUCCUCGAAAGGCUAAAUACUCACGAGUUCCAGCUUGCUGAAAAGAGAGAUCUCUAUGGUUCAAACUAUGGCAAACCACGUGCCCUGAAGGCCAAGGCUGUGUCUGACUCUGAGUGUGAGGACUCUGGAAGUAGCAUUGCUGAUCCUUAAGAAUUGAGCCAGGAUCUAGCACUGCUCGUGAAGAAAUUCCAGAAGUUCACAAGACGGGGUCGCUUUGGAAAAUCCUCAAGAGGCAGUGAUUCCUCAUCAAGUGAAUAUAAGAGAAGGCUUUGCCACAAAUGCAAGAAACCUGGUCACUAUAUUCAAGAUUGUCCUCAGUGGGAAAAGGAAAUGAAGAAGAAGAAAUACAAGGAUUACAGUUCUGAUGAUGCGAAGAAGAAGAACAAAUCGUCAAAAUCUUCGUCAUCAAAAUCCUCGAAGUCUUCAUCUCACAAGAAGAACAGCUCCAAGAAGGCUCGGGCAUUCAUUGGCAAGGAAAUGGACUCUGAAGCUGAAUCUGAGGAAAAUGAGGAAGAGGAGGCGUCUGAAGAAUCUGAAUCUGGUAUGGCAAGUCUGGCCUUCGCAACUGCUUUCGUUAGCAAGUCCAUCUUCAACACUGAAGAAACUGACUCCACCGACAAGCUUGAUGAAGAUAAUGGUGACUACGCUCCCACUUAUUGCUUCAUGGAAAAAGGUGCAAAGGUACUCAGAUACAACUCCUCUGAAUCUAGUGAAAAUGAAUCUGACGAGGAUAUGAAGCCCAGCUACUCUAAACUUGCUAAAAUUGCUGUAAAGCAACAAAGGGCUCUUGAAAAGGUUCAAAACAUGCUAGACAAGAGUGAUGAUAUGUUGGGUGAAGAAAUGGAUCGCACUAAAGCCCUGACUGAAAAUCUUCAGAGACUUUAGUCUAGGUUUGAUAACCUUCAAAGUCAUCAUAACACUCUCUUAUCUGAUCAUGAGAAACUUUCCUAUGAAUUUCUUCAAGAAAAGCAAGAUCACGAGAAGCUUUCUUUUGAAUCUCUUCAAAGAAAGGAAGAUCUUGAAAAUCUAAGAGUGUGUUAUGAAGAUCUUCAGAAGGAGCGCGAUUCAUUACUAGCUCAACAAAUCAGCGCUUCUCAGGAAGAAUUUGUUCCUCCAUGCUUAAAGUGCAUUGAACGUUAAUCUGCUAAUUCUUCACCUGAAUGUUCAAAUGCUUCAACUGUUACAAAUUCUUCAUCUGCCUCUGCUAUCACUAAUUCCUCAUCUGAGGACAUUGCUAGUAUCACUGACAAUGCAGGGCUGAAGGAAUUGUACAUGACAGGCAUGUACAAAAGCCUCAAAGGGCAUCAGACUCUUUGUGGCGUGCUUAAAAAGCAGAUCCUCAACAGAAACCCUAGGAAAGAGGGUAUUGCUUUUAAGAGGAAACUUAAUGCUGAUGGAACAUAUUGGAAGCCUGAGCAGUACCCCAAAACCUCAUGGGUUGCUGCAAAGGGACCUCCAGUUGAUCCAUCUAACUUAUCUGGCUUUACAUGUGAAUCUCCUCAUUCUUCUGAUGAGUCAUUUGAUUCCAACUAUAAACUGUUCAAAAAUCAGAAUGGUGAAGUAUUUGCUAGAUAUGUUGGCACUAACUGCAGGAACGGUUCCCCUAUGAAGAAAAUCUGGGUUCCCAAAAGUUAUGUUGAAAGUCUUCAGGUGAAUGUCCUCAUGACACCACCUGUCAAGAACAGGAACCCCAGAUCAAAGUCCUCAUAUGGACCAAAUUCUUCACAUGGAUCAAAUUCCUCAACAAGAUCAAAGUCCUCAUAUGAUUAUCAUCGUGCUAACAACUCUGUCUCGCAGGGUAGAGCUAAGGGCUAUGAAUAUGUGCAUUGUUCUUCAAACCAUUAUGUUCAUCAGUCCUCGAAAAAUUACUCUGCUUAUUCAUAUGCUUACCCUAACCCAUCUUAUGUGAAAUGAAACGGUUUGGCAUCUUUGCCACCUUUCUCAUAUGCUGCUCGCAGAAUGAUGAAUUCUUUGCCACCCCUCCAGAUGUGGGUGGUGAAGAAAAAUAACUAAUCUCUUCUGCAGGGUCAGGUCUCCAGACGCGCUUUAACGUCUGAAGAAUUUGCUGGGGACCUGACAAAAUGCCUGAAAGGACGCUGGCGAAUCAUGAUGAAAUGAACUUUCAUUUCACACGUCCUCAUACUGCAAUAUAUGUUUACUGCUUAAUGAAAUUCAUCUGAUGAACUUGAUAUCAUAUUCUUCACUGAUGAAGCAUAUGAGAUUGUAAGUUACACUAAUUCAUCUGUAGGACGAUCAACCCAAAACCACUGAAUGGGUCCUCGAUAGUGGAUGUACAAAUCACAUGACUGGUGACAAGAAUCUAUUGAUGGAUGCUCCCUUAUCACCAUCACCUCUGAAGCAUAUCAUCUUUGCUGACAAAGGCAAAAGUCAGGUAUUGGGUCUUGGUAAGGUUGCAAUCUCUAAGGAUAAACACAUGGACAAAGUCAUGCUUGUUGAGUCCUUAGGAUACAAUCUCAUGUCAGUCUCAAUGCUUUGUGAUCUUGAUAUGGUUGUUGUCUUUGGCAAGUAUCGCUGUGUUGUGAUUAUGGAAGCUGACAAUUCCAAAGUCUACGAAGGCUUUAGGAGAGGAGAUUUGUAUAUUGUUGAUUUCUCUACAGGACCACAACCAGCCGUGUGCCUACUUGCAGAAGCUUCAGAAGGCUGGCUAUGGCAUCGACGACUUGGUCACGCAGGCAUGAGGAAUUUGAACACGCUUGCGAAGAAGAAGCAUGUCAUUGGCAUUGAAAAUGUCAAAUUCCUCAAGGAUCACUUAUGCGGAGCCUGUGAAGAUGGAAAAAUGACCAAGGCCAAGCAUCCAGCGAAGACUAUCAUGACCACUACACGUCCAUUCGAAUUGCUUCACAUGGACCUCUUCGGACCUAAUCAUUACUCAGCAGUCACUAAUGAUGCAUCUCUAUAUGGUUUUGUCAUUGUUGAUGAUUACUCUCGAUAUACAUGGGUACACAUUGUUACUUACAAACAUGAAGUGCAGGAAGUCUUCAAACGAUUUUCCUCGAGGGCUUCAACCAACUUCGGUGUGAAGAUCAAGCAUAUCAGAAGUGACAAUGGAACUGAGUUCAAGAAUUCCGGUCUUGAUGCCUAUCUUGAUGAACUUGGUAUUACUCAUGAGUUAUCUGCUCCCUAUACUCCUCAACAGAAUGGCGUCGUGGAGCGCAAGAACAGAACUCUUGUUGAGAUGGCUCGCACGAUGCUUCAUGAAUACAAAACGCCUCAGCAUUUUUGGAUUGAUGCAAUUGAUACUGCUUGCCACAUCAUCAACAGAGUAUAUCUUCACAAAUUCUUCAAGAAGACGGCCUAUGAACUCCUCACUGGCAAGAAACCCAAUGUGAGUUAUUUCAAAGUCUUCGGUGCUAAAUGUUGGAUUAGAGAUCCUCACCACAACUCUAAAUUUGCACCGAAAGCACAUGAAGGUUUUAUGCUUGGUUACGGAAAGGACUCGCACACCUACAGAGUCUUCAACAUUGUUCUUCACAAGAUUGUUGACACUGUAGAUGUGCGGUUCGAUGAAACUAAUGGCUCGCAAAGAGAGCACCUACCUUCUGUGUUAGAUGAACCAGCACCUGAGGAUGCUAUCAAGCUCAAGGCAACUGAGGAUGUCAUUCCUACUUAAGAAUCUGCUGAAGAAUUCAUUCCUGUUCAUGAAGAACGUCGAGCUGAUGCACCUGAAGAACAUGAUGAGGAAAAUGGUGCUGAAGAAAAUGAUGAUCAAAUUCCUCAGCGACAACUAGCUCAUCCUCGCGUUGCAAAAGAAGUUCAAGUGGAGAAGAUCAUCGAUGACAUUGAGGCACCAGGUCCUCUCACACGCUCAAAAGCUUCACAUUUAUCUAACUUUUGUGGGCACUAUGCUUUUGUCUCUAUCACAGAGCCCACUAAGGUAGAUGAAGCAUUUCUGGAGCCGGAGUGGAUUCAGGAUAUGCAAGAAGAAUUACAUCAGUUCGAGCUUAACAAUGUCUGGGAAUUGGUCAAUCGUCCAGAUCCUCGCAAGCAUAAUAUCAUUGGCACAAAGUGGAUCUACCGCAACAAGCAAGAUCAAAAUGGCCUUGUGAUGAGGAAUAAGGCACGACUAGUAGCUCAGGGCUACACACAGGUUGAAGGAAUUGAUUUCGAUGAAACUUUUGCACCUGUUGCUAGACUUGAGGCUAUUCGCAUAUUACUUGCUUACGCUAACCAUCAUGAUAUCAUCUUAUAUCAAAUGGAUGUGAAAAAUGCAUUCCUCAAUUGUAAGCUUGAGGAAGAAGUAUAUGUUGCUCAACCCCCAGGUUUUGAAGAUCCAAAGAAUCCUGACAAAGUCUUCAGACUUAAUAAGGCCCUCUAUGGCCUCAAGCAAGCCCCUCGGGCGUGGUAUGAUACAUUGAAGGAAUUCUUCGUGAAGAAUGGCUUCACACCCGGUUCACUUGAUCCCACUCUCUUUACUAAAUCUUAUGAUGGUCAACUGUUUGUGUGCCAAAUAUAUGUUGAUGAUAUUAUCUUUGGCUGUACUGACCAACGUUAUAGUGAUGAAUUUGCCUAUAUGAUGACUGAAGAAUAUCAAAUGUCUAUGAUGGGAGAGUUGAAAUUCUUCUUAGGUCUUCAAAUUCGUCAGCAGCGCAAUGGCAUAUUUAUAUCUCAGGAGAAAUACCUCAAAGAUGUACUGAGGAAAUUCGGCAUGCAAGAUUGCAAAGGCGUCAAAAUUCCUAUGCCCACAAAUGGCAUCUAUGCACUGAUGAAAAUGGUAUUGACUUCGGUCACAAGGUAUACCGCUCCAUGAUUGGUUCUUUAUUGUACUUAUGUGCAUCUAGGCCAGAUAUAAUGCUUAGUGUUUGCAUGUGUGCCCGAUUUCAAGCUGCACCGAAGGAAUCACACCAUAAGGCUGUGAAGCAUAUUCUUCGAUAUCUAGCUCACACACCAACACUAAGAUUAUGGUACCCCAAGGGCUCUGCUUUUGAUCUCAUUGGAUAUUCUGACUCUGACUAUGCUGGUGAUCGUGUGGACCGCAAGUCAACAUCUGGCACUUGUCAUUUCCUCGGACGAUCUUUGGUCUAUUGGUCCUCGAAGAAACAGAACUGCGUAUCACUGUCUACUGCUGAAGCUGAAUACAUUGCUGCUGGCUCGUGCUGUGCUCAACUGCUUUGGAUGAAGCAAACCCUCAAGGACUAUGGCGUCAACGUGAAGAAUGUGCCUCUCCUCUGCGACAAUGAGAGUGCCAUCAAGAUUGCUCACAACCGAGUUCAGCACUCGAAGACAAAGCACAUCCAGAUUCGUCAUCAUUUUCUUCGUGAUCAUGUGUUGAAGGGCGACAUCUCAAUCGAGCACGUGAAGACUGAAGAACAGCUAGCUGAUAUAUUCACUAAGCCCUUGGAUGAGAAGAGAUUUAGCAAGUUGCGGUGUGAUCUAAAUAUCUUAGAAUCUUCGAAUGUUCUUUGAAAAGGACACACAUCCUAACACUUAUGCAUAAUUGAUGACUUAGAUGUGCAUCACAUGAAGAAACGUUUUUCUUCAAUCAAUGAAGAAUAACACUCUAAGUGUGAAGAAAUUAAUGAAGAAUUUGAUUCUCAGAACCCUACGACAAUUGUACGCGGUGUCUGAAAUCAUCAUUCUUAUACGGUGGGUCAUGCCACCACAAAAGUUGAAAAUCUUCAAUUUGAGUUUUUCCUCAUUUUUGAAAUUCUUCAGUUUUUCAAAUUCUUCAACUUUGUAAAAUCUUCACUGUUUCCGCCAGUUGUGUUCAUUGGAUAUAUAUAUAUGAGUUUAUGUCCUCUACAGCAUUCACUUAUGGCUAGUUCUUCAUGUUGCCUUUUUCUGCUAAGUGAAUGUGAUCGGACCCUUCCCCCUCUAUGCUAUACUCAACCCAAUCUAUUCACAAAUUCUUCAUGUGCGUUCUAUUUGAAACUUGUUCAAAGUCUUCAUUGUGUCCUUGUCAGCUGAAGAAAUUGCGAAUGAAACUUUAAAACAAAUCUUAUCCAGAUUUUCGGUUUUACCGCUCAAACCGUUCCGCAUCCCACGAUGCAUUAUUUUAUUCACCCACGAUCAUACACGAUCUCAUCUGCACAGUGCGUGGGUGACACAUGUCGCGUGAAAGAGAAAGGGCAGGGGCAUGUUUGUCCCAAAAUCUAAGGGCGAACAGUUUUUACCGUGGCUAUAAAUACCCCUCUCCCCUUCCUCACUUCAUAUACUCCGCUCGGUCGCUGUCUCUUGCUUGAGCUCCUCAAACCCUAGCGCCGCCGCUACUCCAUCAUCGCCGAUGAGGAAGAGCUUCACUGCCUCGACCUCGUCGCCGUCGUACUCACGCCGGCUGCGGAAAUCUUCACUCCGCCGCCGCCGUAGCUGUUUCCCUCUGCCAAGUUAGGGCGUGGGAGAUCAAACCGGACGAACUUCACAUCUGUUCAUCUCAGUUCGUCGCGUUCUUCGGUUCGGGUAAUUAAAAGUUACUUUUAUUUACUCACUUUGAUUCUCAAACUUUUCUGAUAAUCUUCAAAGGUGUUGUUAUUCAAAUCCUCACACGUAUGAACACCUCAUGGAUCGUAUGAUCUUGAACUAUUUCUCUAAGCAAUCAUUUUCUUCAAGAUUCCUCAAUUGUGUGGAUCUUCGAUCUAUACAACUCUGGAACCUGAGACAAAACGCUUGAUGAAAUUCCUCAAGGCUCAUCUGGUCAAAUUCCUCAAAACUUGUCUUUUCGAAAAACCCUUCUGAGAACACAUAUGACCUCUUCAAAUUCCUCGCACCUACACUCUGUUCACAGGUACUCAUGACCGCUGCUGAAUCACUAGGUUCUCAUCAACUUAACUCAUUUGCAGCGUUCCUCGAAGAAAAACUGCAUACUUCUUCAGACUGCUCAGUUGUUCAAAUUCCUCAUCUCAAGAAUACGACUGAAGGAAAGAGACCGCAGAAAGGAGGAAAGAGGCCUGAGGUCAUGACUGCUUUUGAGAUCCCUGUUGAAAUUUAUGCUGGCUACUGCACACCUGAUGAAGCAAUAUUUGGCAAAGAAACUAAAAAUCAGCGCAAGGUGCGCAUACAGAAAAUUGAAUGGAGAUGGGCAAGGGAAUGGAGGGAAUGUCGAUAUGUUACUCCAAAAUACAUGAAGAAAUUCGCUUUAAAUCCUCCAUGCCCUAGAGCUCCACUGGCACCUGGCCAAGUAGCUGAUCCCACCAGCAUCAAGCGUGGUGAGGACUUUCCUGAAGAAUGGGCUAAGCACCAAGCUAAAUUGGCAAGGCAAGCCAAGGAAGCUGUGAAGAAAUUCAAUGAGGAUUCUGUUGCUGCUGCUGCUGCUGAGACCUCGGUCAAACCGAGGAAAUCAAUGCCAAAGAAGCCUGCUCGCAAGCCAAGUGCUUCACCGACAGCGCCCUCACGGCCAAGUUCCCUCAGCUAUGGCCUCACGGCAAAUUCCUCAGAUCGCUAAUGCUCCACCAAAGUCCUCAACUCCUAUGCAUCUGGCUACAUGCCAAAGGACUACUGGUUUUUCAAUUGCUUCUGGUGUCUCAGCAAGUUCCUCAGCUGCACCAAUGUCCUCAUCAGGCACCACUCUAUUGAAGACUAAAGCAACAGCUGGACGCGGUCCUCGGCCAAGUGCAAGGAAGAAACAGGUUGCGUUUCAAGUGCCCUCUGAUGAUGAAGCUUCUGAUGAAGAACUUGCAGAAAUCAUCAGAGAUAGACAAGUGAAGGCCACUAGAGGCAAAGGCACAUCUGUGCCACUGCUUUUGGAUCCGAGGAAAAUCCUCGAUUUCAUUGAUCUCUGGCAUAAGGAUCCAAACACUCCAAUGCCUGAUCUGCCUCUGACUCCUGGUCAAAGUCAGACGCUGACCCAUUUCAUCACUAAAGAGAAAUGGAAAUUUGAGAAGGCAAGAGAGAUAAAGAGAGCUCAAUACAGAAAGGAGAAGCUCCUGAAGAAGAAUGUUGUUAGCAUGACACCUGAGGAACUUCUCAAGGCUCAGUCAGAAAUUCAAGCCCUCAGCAAAGACUUCAAUGCAUACUAUGCUGAUUGGCAAGGGGCCAAAGUGAGAUUCGUCAAUCUGACAACUGUUGCAGCCCCAUCGCAGCAAGAAAAUCCUCAGGCUGUAGACUCUGCUCAGCCUGCUGAAGAACAUGCCAGCACCGCUGAUGACUUUCAGCCUGCUGAAGAAAAUGCAAGUUCCAAGGCUGAUGACUCCAUCCCAGCCACUGAAGAAAUUGCCAGGGCAUCCGCUAGUGGUGCGCCUGAACAAAUUGAAGAGAUCAUGGCAACUGCACCAGUUGCGCCUGAAGAAAAUCAACCAAAUUCCUCAGCUCCUCCCGCGCCUACACCAACUCCAAUUCUUCCUUCUGCUUAUGAAGUGAAGAAAACCAAGGCUGCAGAGCGAGAUGCAGUAAAGAAAAGGAAGGCAUCAACUGCUUCAAAUUCUUCGGCUGCGAAGAAAAUUAAGGCCAUGACCAGCUCUAUUGACAAUCCUAUUGAUGCUGUUCCGAUUUCCUCCAUGACAUCAAAGGAAAUUGUUCCUUAUGGAGAAUACUACAAGAUCCCAAGCGGAUCUGAUGAAGAAAAUCAUUCUGCUGCUACGUCAGAGCAGUUUGAUGAAGAAAUUGAAGUGGAAGCAAUCCCUUCAACACCAAUCAUUUCCUCACCUAUGCCUCAGUUCACAGCUGAAGAGGCUAGUGUUGAGGAAAUUGAAGAUGAAGAUGUGGAUAUUGGAUGCACUACACCAGUGAUGAAUGAUGACUUUUGGGAAAGUCAGCAUCCCAAUACUCCUCCAUUCACACCUAUCCAACAAAUUCCUCAGUCCCCUGCAACCACAGUUCAGAUGGGCUCUGAAGAAACUCAUCCCACUCCUUCUGUUCAUGAAGAAAUUCCAGCCACUAGUGCUGAAGAAACUGCUGCUGCUGAUCCUAAAGUUGCACAAGAGGAGGAACCAGAAAUUCCUCAGCCCGAAGAACCUGAGCUCGUGAUUCCCGAGGUUGUGCUGCAAAUUAUUGACACUCCUUUGCCCAAGCCGAAGAAUCCGCUCUCAAGCAAGCAAAAAUUCAAGGCUGAAGACUUCUUUUCUGAGCAUGUGUUCUUCACUGAUUAUAACCCAUAUGACUCUGCUCGCAUAAGGAAGAGGCGUUUCUGGACUGCAAGUCAAGCCAACUUCUAUUCCUCAGUGCUAUUUGACAAGGACAAAAUCUUCGAUCAUGAAUAUAUUCCUCACGUGGAUAUGGAAUCUCUGCCGUGCUUCGAGCCAGUCCUCAGUGUUAUUCACGAUGCAGGAUUACUGAACUUCUGCACUGAUAUCUGUGACUGGAAUGAAGAACUCAUUCUUCAGUUCUACGCCACAUUGCAUAUCACCGGAAAUGCUGAAGAUGUCAAUUCAUGGGUGCUGGAUUGGAUGACCGAAAACACUCACUACAAGGCACCAGCAACUGAAUUGCUUCGUGUCCUUCCUCUUGAUCCUCCCCAUGACAGUGCAUGCUGCAUCUACAAUGACCCUGAACUGACAAAUCAUUUUAUGCAAGUGCUCAUGAAGCCUUUGAAGCUAGGGCAGGCCCCUCGAACCAAAUUCCUCGUCAAGGAAUUGCUCUAUGUGCCUCGGACUGUCUAUCGCAUCCUGACGAAGACAAUGAGUCCUAUCAAAGGCCAUGACUCAAAUGAUGAAGAUGUCGUUGGCAUCAUGAAGAACAUGCUUUUCAACAUCAUUCAUGGCGUUCCCGUCAACUUCCAUGAUUUCUUCAUGAGGACUUUGGCAAACGUUGCUAUGUCACCAUUCGAGCUGAAACCCUAUGCACCGUGGAUUAUGAGAUUCAUAAGGGCAAGAUCUUCACUAAAUUACAAGGCUGACACUCUAAACCACGGUAGCUACUUGCCUCCCAUUGAAGUCCUCAAACGGCCAGUUACUUCAUCUGAUGAUAAGGGCAAGGCAGCUGCUAUGAUCGAUGAAGGCACUCGUCCAUUGGAUGGUCAAUUCCGUCUUGCUACAUCUUACUCAACCAAUGAUGACUCUGCCACACAUGACACUGCCGCAAAUACCUCAGCUAAGCAAAAUCCUCAAGCCACAACUCCCAGGGUGAUGACUGACCGUGAGUUACUCCUCAGUCUUCAUCAGAAGGUUGAUCGCAAUCACAAAUGGGUGAAGCGUCAGUUUGCUGCUCUUCUUCACAAUAUGACCUCAACACAUAAUGCAGUGAAGAAAAAUCAUUAUCACCUUCAUGAAACCCUCAACCGCACCUGGGCUAUUCUCACUCAUGUUUAUGGCGCGGAAGAGCUGAAGACUAUGGGUCUUCAGGAAGCAUUUGACUGGUCUGCACCUCCUCCGAAGAAAUUCAAGAGAGUCAAAGUUCCUGAUCUGGUGGCCAGCUCUUAUUCUUCAUCGCGUGUAAUUGAUGAAUAUGAAGAUUUGGACGACACUGCGGCAGGCCCUACUUCAACAAACAACCCCGACAACGCUGGCGCUCCUCCAUCAACUUGAAAUUCUUCAGGAGCGUUAGUCCUCAGUUUCGAUCCUUUUGGUCAUUUGAUGACAAAGGGGGAGAAAUCUGAGUUAGUCUUCAAGCGGGUCGAUACUAAGGGCGUUUUUUUUAAGUUACAACUCUCGUUCUUCCGAAACUUUUAUUGGAUCGAGUUGUAAUCUUAAACCCGAUGGUGCCUUGAUACUUUUGGUUGUGCUCUGAUGCUUUUGAUGCACUGAGCUCUGAUACUCUUUGAUGUGCUAUUCUGCAUGCUUAUUCCUUGUUAUAUUAUUGCACGCAUGCUGAAUCUCGUCAGGCACCAUAUUUCAUCAUGCAUUUCAAAUUCUUCAUAUUAUAUAUCAAAUGUGUGUAUGAAUUACAAGAUAUAGGGGGAGAUCUCCAUGAUUCAUUUCUUCAAAUGUGCAUUGCCUCAAAAGCAAAUUCCUCGCUAUGCACCUAUUUAGGGGGAGUUCUUCUAUAUCUUGCAAUCAAACUCCUCAAUAUCAGUAUUUACACUUCACAUAUUUAUCCCCGUUGAAAACUUAACCUAUGUUGUCAUCAAUCACCAAAAAAGGGGAGAUUGUAAGUGCAUCUAGUGCCCCUUAGUGAUUUUGGUGUAUUGAAGACUUAUAGGUUAAGGGACUGAUGCGUUUGUGAGUGUACACAGGUCUAUAAGUCUAUGAGGAGUUUCAUAUUUACAGAGAAAGUCAACCCCUAAAAAUGAAGUUCUUCGGCUGAAGACUUUGAUAUUCUGAAGACUUUCUGAAGACUUUGGAAGUGAAGAAAUUGGUGUGACCUUGAAGACUUGAUAUUCAUUUGAGGAACAUGAAGCGCAAAGACUUUCAUUUUCGUAGUUUCAUUUUCUCUUUCUUGAGUCAUAGGAAACACCGUACUGUUAAAGGGGGUCGAGGAAAUACUAAGGAAAAUUUUCCAUGUGAUGCUCAACUCAAAAUCCUACACCUACCAAUCCCUUCGAGUAAAGCCAUUGGAAAUCUCAUACAGUUCAGUCAAUUUCUUCAGUGACAGAGACGCAGUUCUUCUGACCACUGAGGACUUUGCUCUGACUGAGGAGUUAGGAAUUCGCCAGUGCGAAUUGCCUACACAGUGAGGAACAUGAUAGCCCUGAGGAAUUUGAGAGUCAAAUUUUCGACUGUUGCUGUGCUGCGCGCCGGUUGUCCAAAAUAUCUUAUCCACCUAACGGUCAUAUCAGUGAAGGGCAUUUAUGUCUUAUCAUGUCGGGCUGCUCCCUAGGCUAUAAAUAGCCGCCCCCUACAACCACUAGUUGGUUGGCUGCUCCGAGAGAACUUGACACUUGUCAUUUGAGAGCAACCCAUCCUCCGAGGACUUUGAGCGAAAAUCAUCAAGUGAGGAAAAUCCCAAAACCAAACCCCCACAAACCCAAAGUGAUUGAGCAUCACUAAAGAAAUUGAUCCUGCGUGGAUCCGACGCUUGUUACCUUUGAAGACUGUGCUUCUUCCAGAUGGUUAGGCGUCAAGGUCUAGAGCAUCCGAGAGGAAUUGUGGAUUGCCGAGUGACCAAGUCUGUGAAGGUUUGGAAGUCACCUGAAGACUUACCACGAGUGAUUGGACGAGACCUGCGUGGUCUUAGUUCAAGGAGAAUACGGUGAGGACUGGGUGUCCUGAGUUGCGGCUCAGAGACUGGGUGUCCGGGACUGCGUGUCCUCGAGUUUAAAUACUCAGCCGCUCCAACCAGACGUACAACUGAGACAACAGUUGGAACUGGUUUACCAAAUCAUUGUCUUCACCAACUAACUGGUUCUAUUUCCUCAACCCUUCCAUUUCCUCAUUACUGUGUUGUAUGUUGUUCAUAUCUGUGUUUGAAGACUUUGACUAAAGACUUUCUCAAAUUCCUCAGUUCAAUUUCUUCAGUCUGUUUGUCUUCAUCUUGUUAUCCUGUGUUUACGCUUUCUGUACUCUGUGCUUGUCUUCAUUUCAUCAUGAUGACCAUGCUUGCAUCCUGUUAUGCUUACUUCUGAGUACUUAUUCCACUGCUAGUAGUUCUUCAUUAAAGAAUUUCCUCACCGGCAAAUUCCUCAGUGAAGUAUUCAUAAAAAUCGCCUAUUCACCCCCCCUCUAGUCGAUAUAACGCACUUUCAUUCUGUCUGUGUGACCUGAAGACUUAUUACACUUGAGGACUGUGAAUCCUCCAGCCGGUUAGGCGUCGCAUUCUGAGCAUCCAAGAGUCAUUGUGGAUUGCCGGUGAACAAAGUCUGUGAAGGUUUGGAAGUCUCCCUUGAAGACUUACCAGAGUGAUUGGGCGAGGACUGGGUGUCCUUAGCUCAAGGGGAAUAAGGUGAAGACACGGUCUUCUGAGUUAAAUCUCAGCCUCCCUAACCAGACGUACAUUUGUCACAGCAACUGGAACUGGUCCAACAAAUCCUGUGUCUUCAACAAGCAACUGGUUCUAUCCCUUCCAACCUUACUUAAGUUUGUCUUCAUGAAGUCAUUGCCUAUCUGUUUAUCUGUUUGACUUCAUUGCUUGACUACUAUUGUUGAUUGGCUUCAUACCAUCUUCCAUCUUGAUCCUUACUACCUAACUGCUAUUGGUCCUGUACUUUCACAUCAUGACAUGUUUGACUAUGGCUUGUUUAGGGUAGUUUAUCUUCCGCUGCAUAUCAAUUAGGUUGUUUCUGUUGUUUGUCUUUGAAACUUCCAAGUUUUGAAGACUUUCAUAAAAAUCGCCUAUUCACCCCCCCUCUAGUCGAUACUAGCACUUUCAAUUGGUAUCAGAGCAAGGUACUCCCUUGUUCUGUGUGAUUCGGUUUAACCACCUGGAGUUUCCGCUAUGUCGACUGCAGGAUUGAGGAACAUAUCGUGUCCCACCUUUGACGGUCAUGAGUAUCCCCGAUGGAAGGCCAUGAUGAAGAAGCUACUCAUGUCCAAGGAUAGCGAACUGUGGACCGUCACUGAGAUUGGACUCACUGAUCUAUGCAAGAUGGCAGAGGCUGAUGACAUUCGCAAGUAUACGCUACUGAACCUCACAGCAAAGGCUGUCAUCUGCUGUCAUUUGUCCAGAAAUCAGUUCAGGAAUGUUAUGCACCUCAAUCACGCGAAGCUAAUCUGGGACCGGCUCUCUUAUGUUUAUGAAGGUCAUCGCACUCGUCAUGAUCCGCGGUUUGAGGACUACAAGGAAUCUCUCAAGGAAAUGACCUUUGCACCUGAAUCAUCAUCAUCCUCAUUGUGCCACAUGGCAAGGGGUGAUAAGGUAACUGAAUUUUAUCUCUCUGAAUCUAGUGAUGAUGAAUCAGGUGAUGAAUUUGGGCCUAGUUAUGACAUGCUUGCUUCCCUUGCCACUAAACAACAAAGAAUCUUGGAAAAGGUUCAAGACAUGCUUAGUAAGAGCGAUGAUAUGUUGGGUGAGGAAAUGGAUCAGUCAAAAGCUUUGGCUGAUAGUCUUCAGAGACUUCAUGCUAAGUUUGACGCCCUUCAAGAUCAACAUAAUGCUCUCUUAUCUGAUCAUGAGAAGCUUUCUUCUGAAUGUCUUCAAAGAAAGUUAGACCUUGAAAAGAUAAGAGUGGAUUAUGAAGAUCUUCAGAAGGAGCGAGAUUCACUUCGCGCUCAACAGAUCAGUUCUGCUCAGGAAGGAUUUGAACCACCAUGUCUAAAAUGCAUUGAGCGUGAUAACGCUACAUCUGUUGCUGAAUGUUCCACUGCUGCUACUGUUUCAUUAUCUUCACCUACUAAUGUGGUCACUAACCCCUCUGCGGAGGAUACCACUGCUGUUGCUGAUGAAAAUGCUAUGUUGAAGACAUUACUUGAAACAGGGAUGUACAAAAGUUUGAAGGGACAUCAGACUCUCUGCGAUGUCCUCAAAAAGCAGAUUCUGAACCGAAACCCUAGGAAAGAGGGUGUUGGGUUCGAAAGGAAAAUGAAUGUUGAUGGCUCGUACUGGAAGCCUGAGCAGUACCCCAAAACCACAUGGGUUGCUGCAAAGGAACCUUCAGUAGAUCCAUCUACCUUAUCUGGCUUUACCUGUGCUGAUCCUAUUAUCAUUGAUGAAUCCUUUGAUGCAAACUAUAAGCUGUUCAAAAAUCAGAAUGGUGAAGUGUUUGCCAGGUACAUUGGUACUAACUGCUGGAAUGGACCACCUAUGAAGAAGAUCUGGGUACCUAAGCAGUACAUUGAGAGUCUUCCUGUGAAUGUCGUCAUGACACCACCAAGGAAGAAGACAAACCCCAGACCUAUAGCUUCAUAUGGCCCAAAGGCUUCAUACAGAUACAGGACUCACAUGAGUCACCCUAACAUCAAUGUUUUGCAGGGAAAUCAUGCUCAGACUUAUGAAUAUGAGCGUGUAUCUUCGAACCGCUAUGUUCAUAGGACUAAGAACUUUUCUGCUUAUUCAUAUGAGUAUCAUUCAUCUCCUGCAAGGCUAUUUGCUAGGACUUCAAAGCCAAAAUUCUCAGAUGCUGCACUUAGACUCAUUGCUUCUAAGCCCCCAUUGAAAAUGUGGGUGGCAAAGAAGAACUAACUCUCUUUUGCAGAAAAUGGUCUCCAGCCAACAAUCAAUGGCGUCCGAUACUAUUGCUGGGGACCUAAUACUCACUGAGGACGCACGCUAAAAUGUCAUGCUAUAUACUUCAUCUGAAUCUCUUAUCAGCCAUACUAUGUCCUAACCUUGAUAUAAGCUGUGACUGUCCCUAUAUGUAUCAAAUGCAUAUGCUUCACAACACUUGUGUGAAGCCUAUCCUCCUAACUGCACUGUAGGGUACAUCACCAAAAGCUUGAGAGUGGAUUAUGGACAGUGGGUGCAUGAAUCAUAUGACUGGUGAUCGAAGUCUUCUCAUGGACUCAACCUUACGUCCAUCCGACAAGAGUCACAUCACAUUUACUGACACUGGUAAAAGCAAAGUAUUGGGUCUAGGUAGAGUUGCAAUCUCAAAGGAUCAACACAUGGAUAAAGUGAUGCUUGUUGAAUCCCUUGGCUUCAACUUAAUGUCUAUCUCAAUGCUUUGUGACUUGAACAUGAUUGUGAUAUUUGGCAAAUAUCGUUGCCUUGUACUAAUGGAAUCUGACAAAUCUCUAGUCUUUGAAGGGUACCGAAAGGAUGAUCUGUACAUGGUAGAUUUCUCAGCAGGUCCACAGCUUGCCGUUUGUCUUCUCACAAAAGCUUCAGAAUGCUGGCUCUGGCAUCGAAGGCUGGGACAUGCUGGCAUGAGGAACUUACACUCACUCGUCAAGAAGAAGUAUGUAAUAGGCAUUGAGGAUGUCAAGUUCAAGAAGGAUCAUCUGUGUGGUGCCUGUGAAGCUGGAAAAAUGACAAGGGCAAAGCACCCCUCGAAGACAAUCAUGACAAUAUCUCAACCCUUCGAGCUGUUGCACAUGGACUUAUUCGGACCUACUCACUACUCCACCCUCACAACAACUGCCUGUCUCUACGGUUUUGUCAUUGUUGAUGACUACUCAAGAUACACAUGGGUUCAUAUAAUUCUGUACAAGACUGAAGUGCAAGAUGUCUUCAGGCGCUUCGCAAAUGGAGCAAUGAACAAUUAUGGUGUGAAGAUCAAGCACAUCAAAAGUGACAAUGGCACUGAAUUCAAGAACACUGGACUUGAUCUGUACCUGGAUACAAUGGGAAUCACUCAGGAGUUCUCUGCUCCAUACACACCUCAGCAAAAUGGCUUUGUUGAGCGCAAAAACAGAACCCUCAUUGAGAUGGCUCGAACUAUGCUAGAUGAGUACAAGACACCAAGAAAUUUCUGGCCUGAAGCUAUUGAUACAGCAUGUCACAUCAUCAACCGUGUACACAUCCAUAAGCUUCUGAACAAAACAUCAUAUGAGCUACUUACUGGCAAGAAGCCAAACGUCAGUUACUUCAGAGUAUUUGGAGCAAGAUGCUGGAUAAAGGAUCCCCAUCACAAGUCAAAAUUUGCACCUAAGGCUCACGAAGGCUUCAUGCUUGGCUAUGGAAAGGAUUCACACUCCUACAGAGUCUUCAACCUUUAUCUCUACAAGAUCGUUGAAACUGUGGAUGUGAAAUUUGAUGAAACCAAUGGUUCGUAGAGAGAGAUCCUGCCAAGUACACUGGAUGAAGCUCCUUCAAACGAGGCAAUCAAGUUGAUGGGAACUGGUGAAAUCAUGCCCUCUGAAGAACAACCUGAAGAGGAACUCAUCAUCUCUGCACCAAAUCAACCUGAAGACAAUGCUCACUCCGAAGACAAUCCUCCCAAUGAUGACAAUGGUCAGCUAGAGCAAAAUCUUCGUCCUGUUCAUCCUCGUGAUGCAAAUGAAGUUCAAAUAGAGAAGAUAAUUGACAGCAUCAAUGCACCUGGUCCGCUCACUCGAUCAAGAGCAACACAGUUAGCAAACUUAUGUGGGCACUUUUCAUUUGUGUCAAUAUCAGAACCCAAGAAAGUUGUUGAAGCUUUUAUGGAACCUGAAUGGAUUCAAGCCAUGCAAGAAGAACUUCAACAGUUCAAACUGAAUAAUGUCUGGGAACUUGUCAAGCGACCUGAUCCACGCAAGCAUAACAUUAUUGGAACAAAAUGGAUAUAUCGAAACAAGCAAGAUGAGCAUGGUCAAGUCGUCAGAAACAAAGCACGUCUUGUGGCUCAAGGAUACACUCAAGUUGAAGGAAUUGACUUCGAUGAAACAUUUGCUCCUGUUGCUAGGCUUGAAGCUAUUCGUAUACUGCUAGCCUACGCUGAUCAUCACAAUAUCUUUCUAUAUCAAAUGGAUGUAAAGAGUGCAUUUCUGAAUGGCAAGAUUGAAGAAGAAGUGUAUGUAGCACAACCACCUGGCUUUGAAGAUCCAAAACAUCCUGAUAUGGUGUACAAGCUAAACAAGGCACUGUAUGGCCUCAAACAAGCCCCUCGUGCCUUGUAUGAUACAAUCAAAGACUUCCUGAAGAGCAAAGGCUUCAAACCUGGAUCCCUCGAUCCGACUCUCUUCACGAAGACAUAUGAUGGUGAACUGUUUGUGUGCCAAAUAUAUGUGGAUGACAUUAUCUUCGGCUGCACCAACCAGAAGUACAGUGAUGAGUUUGGGUACAUGAUGCAAGAGCAAUAUCAAAUGUCCAUGAUGGGUGAGCUGAAGUUCUUCCUUGGUCUUCAAAUUCGUCAGCAGAGGAAUGGCAUCUUCAUAUCUCAAGAGAAAUACCUCAAGGAUUGCCUGAAGAAGUUUGGUAUGGAAGACUGCAAAGGCUACACGAUGCCAAUGCCAGCCAAACACCAUCUUGGUCCCGACGACAAUGGUAAAGAGUUCGAUCAAAAGGUAUAUCGCUCGAUGAUUGGUUCUUUGCUUUAUUUAUGUGCAUCUAGGCCAGAUAUUAUGCUUAGUGUUUGCAUGUGUGCACGAUAUCAAGCGGCACCAAAGGAAUCGCAUCACUUAGCUGUGAAGCGAAUUCUUUGAUAUAUGGCUUACACCCCAACACUCGGAUUAUGGUAUCCCAAGGGCUCGAGAUUCGAUUUGGUUGGAUUCUCGGAUGCUGAUUAUGCUGGUGACAAGGUGGAUCGCAAGUCUACAUCUGGCACAUGUCAUUUUAUUGGUCGAUCACUUGUCUGUUGGUCUUCGAAGAAGCAGAACUGUGUAUCACUCUCAACUGCUGAAUCUGAAGACAUUGCUGCUGGAUCCUGUUGUGCUCAGCUUCUAUGGAUGAAGCAAACUCUCAAGGAUUAUGGCAUCAACCUGAACCAAGUACCUCUCUUCUGUGACAACGAGAGUGCCAUCAAAAAUAGCCAACAAUCCAGUCCAACACUCGAAGACAAAGCACAUUGAAAUUCGUCAUCACUUUCUCAGAGAUCAUGUUAUGAAGAAAGAUAUCGAUAUCAUUCACGUCAACACUGAAGAGCAACUGGCAGAUAUCUUCACAAAGCCCUUGGAUGAGAAAAGGUUUUGCAAGUUACGGUGUGAGCUAAAUAUCUUAGAAUCCUCUAAUGUCCUGUGAUCAGGCACACAUCCUAACACUUAUGCAUGUUGAUGACUUAGAUGUGCAACACACAAAGUAAGGUAUAUCUUCAAUCAAUGAAGAUUUACACUCUAAGUGUGAAUACAUUAACAUGGAAUUUGACUUCGGAGCGCCACGAUAAUUGUGCGCCGUGUCUGGGUCUAAUACUUCCUAUACGGUGGGUAACACCACCACCAACUUUUCUUGUUUGAAGUGUUUCACUCAAGGCGUUAUAUUGCAAUGACUUCGCAUUUGGUUUGUCUUCAGUUUCAAUUUGUCUUCAUGACUUUCUGCACUAUGAUGAUUUGAUUGCUUUCUGAUAUAUAUAUAUAUAUAUAUAUAUAUAUAUAUAUAUAUAUAUAUACUUGUGUUCUGUCCUCUACAACAUUCACUUAUAGCUAUGUCUUCAAGAUUGGAUCUUUUGAACUAAGUGAAUGUGAUCGGACCCUAACCUCUCUAUGCUUCCUACCUCAAAAUCUAUCUGUCCAAAUCAUAUGCAUUCUAUUGAAACUGUCGAAUGUCUUCUCUGCGUCCUAGUCAGCAGAAGGCAAAGAGACAAACAUUAAAUCUGUUUUAAAUGGCUUAUCUUGACUGUUGAAAUCCGGAGAAGCCGGAACAACUCUCCGACAUGCCUGGCGGGCGUGGGAACGUGGGACAACCCUAAGUGUGUUGCAUGCUUGCCACGUGCCCCUCAGAUGUGAACCGCUAGGGGCACCAGCGUAAUUGCGCUGUGUCUCUCACCUACUUAUAAAUACCUGUCCCCCUGCGGUAAAGAAAUACUUCUUCCACCUCUCCACCUUCGUCAAAACCCUAGCGCCACCACUAGCUCGCGACGACGCUGGCGACGAAGCGCUUAGCUGCCGCGACUUCUCCGACGCCGUCCUCACGCUGGCCGCGGACAUCGUCCUCUCCGCCGUCGCCGUAGGUGUCCUCCGUCGCCAAGUUAGGGCACGAUGGGCUGAACUGCUCGGUCUCCUAUUCUUCCAUCUAGCAGUUCUUCGUGCGGUAAUUAUAACUCUAUUUUUACCACCUUUUUGAUCUUCAAGAUUCAUCCUGUUUACCGAAAGUAGUUUCUGUCUAUUCAAAGCUAGAUCUAUUUCGUCUGCAUCUCAUACUGCUUAGUCGAUUCACUUAGAUUUCUUGUCUAGUUUGAUUCCUCACUUGUACUUAUUCACGGAUUGGUACAAAUCUGGAACCAACUCACCUAUAUAAGUGAAUGUCUUCCAUCAUGAGGUCAAUGUCUUCAAACUGAUUUAUCUUCAAAAUCUUCUGAGAAUGCAUAUGACCUCUUUCCCCUCCCUCGCAUCUCUAAUGCUGUCACAGGUACAUGUCCGUGGGUGAAUCCCUUGGUUCUCAUAGUCUGCAUUCGUUUGCAGAAUUCUUACAGCAUCAUAUAAAUUCUCCUGAAUCCAGUUCCUGCUUGACCAGCAAGCGUAAAUCUCUAAAGCCUUUGAACGUAUUGAAGCCUUUCAGCUUGAAGUUCAUGGCAACAGAAAAAUCAGCAAGGAAGGGUGGCAGACAGCAUAGAGAAGGUACAUCUAAAGAUCUGCCUGAUGAUUUAGCAGAACUGUACAAGACAGAUCCUGAAGAGAACUAUCAUCAGAGAAAGACGCGAAUCCAAUGGAUUCAUCGCUAUUGGUUGAGGAGUGGUUCAAGUACAAGUUUGUCAGAAAGGAAUAUGCAGAGAAGAAUGCCAUCAAGAGACCUUGGGGCGAUAUCCUCUAUCGAGGCCUUCAACCCAAGAGCCGAGCUGAAGCCAUUGAACAAGGCUUCUACCCUUGUAUGGUCCGUGGGCCACAGCCAGUGAAAUCAAAUCCCACCUCACUACUAUGGUGUCGUGACUAUUCUCUCUUCAAGCGCAACUAUCAGUUUGCUGUGGCUUCGGCCAAGAAGAACAAGAAGGCUUUGGGUUUGGACUUCAACCCAGGUCCCUCUGCUCCCCGUGCUGAUGGCUCCCGUGAAGCUAAUCCCAAUGUCAUUGGCCCCUACGCCAACCUUGACGGGCUCAUCACCUACAUCAUGGUCCAAGGCGCCAGAGUAGAUCACUCUGACAAUGGUGCUGACUCUGAUGAAGCUCCAGCUCCUCUUCCAAAGCCGCAGAAGCAAAAGAAGUCCAAGGCUUCAACCUCAGCUGCACCUCCCAAGACUUUGCGUGCGAAGCCACUGGCCACUGCACCUCCUGAAGCCAGUGUGCAAUCUGAAGAUCUGUCCCGUGUCUCCAAGAGAAUGGAGAAGAAGAAGCAGCUUGUUAGACCAUCUGAUCAACGAGCCUUGACUCCUGCCGUAGUUCUGCGUGACGAACCCAUUGAUCUAUCAAGUGAUGAAGAACUUGCUGAUGAUGCUCUUGAGCAGCUGAUAAAGAGCAAGGAAGAAGCAGAAAUCUUUAGCAACCUGCCUCUCUUUGAUGUGGCGAUCAUCCACAAUUUCAUUGAUGAGUGGUUCGACACCCCCAACAUCAGCUUUGAAGAUUUACAGCUCCCCAUUGGCGUCAGUGUCACCUUCAAUGGCGGCAUUGCUUCUGAGCUAGCUCUUGCUCAGCGCAUGUGGCCAAGCUCAGUGUUCAAGACGUUCGCAACUUCAAGGUCAUGCUGAAUGAGCUUAAAGAAGCUUUUCUCAAAAAACGCCAAGAAGCUCAGGGCUCUCGAGAAUGCAUGAAGCUUUUGGCUGACAAGUGUGUGCUUGCCUACAAUGAGGCUGAGAAGCGCAAGUCACUUGGCCGCCCUGGCAUUGACCCCAGGAUGGCUGCAAAAAGGAAGAACAAGCGCCCUGCUGAUCAACCUGAACCAUCAAGCCAAGAAGCCCCUCGCAUUAUCUUCCCAAGCAGCAUGACUGGCUCGAAGCCAAAGGUCACCACCACAGCUUCAGAACAAAAGAAGACAAGGGCUGCAGAGGCUGACGCCAGAAAGAGAAAGAACACUGAAGCCUCUGAUGCUGCUCCCUCCAAGAAGAAGCGCAAGACCAAGAAGACUAGGGCUGCUUCCACAGAGCCCUUAGUCGUUGAACCCAUCUCUGUGGUUCGCCCUGUGUCUGUUCAUCAAGAACGAAGAAUGGUUGUCCAUGAGCCUGCUACCACAGAGGCUCAUGAAGCUGAAGAUAUUACAGCAGCUGAACACACCGCUGCUGAAGACAUUGGUCAAGAUGACCAUGUAAAUGAUGAUGAAGUUCUUCCUCAGCUUGAACAUCAAGUGGUAUCAUUGCCUGUUCGUACGAACAGCGAACUCAUCAGCAUUGGUCGUCCAUUGACGCCAAUUGCUCAGGAUGCUUCGUGGGCUGAUCACCCACAACAACAACAAGCUACUCCCCCAGUGCAAGAAGGGGAUGAAGACUUUCUGGCUCACCCAACUCCAUCUCCCAACUUGAAGCCAGCACUUCGCAGGCUUCGCAGAGGACAAAGGCCUGAAGUCCCUCUGUCGAGCGUUCCCGAAGGAGAAGUGCAACAUUCACCUAUUCCACGGCAAGUAUUUUCUGAACCAGCUCCAACAGUGAACGUCUCCAUGUCUGAAGCACAUGCUGCUGAAGACAUUUUGGCUGCAUCAGCCGAAGAAAAUGAAGAAGAAGUACGUGUCCCUACACCCCCAGCUAUUGAAGAAGAAGAAGCAGUUCCAUAUGUGAACGUGCAUGUGCCCGACCCUCCUGUUCGUCAAGAGGAGGUUGACAAUGUUUGAUGCUGCCACCACCGACGCCAAUGAAGCCAGUGAGGUAGUCAUGGCUGAUGCUAAUGUGGAGCUUGCACCAACUAGUGUGCCUGAAACCAAUGAGGCCACUGUGCCUGAAGCAAAUGUGGCCACUGAAUCCGAAAUCAAUGAGGAUGUUGCCCCUGAAGUCAAUACGGACGCUACACCUAACGCAAAUGAGACUGCUGCACCUGACGCCAAUGAGGAUGCUGCACCCGAAGCCAAUACGACAACUGCUCCCGAAGCACCUGUUAUGCAGCCUGACUCCUCUGAUGUUACCCAUGCUCCUGUUCCGCCACCAAGGCCUCACACUAUUGAGCAAGCAUACGAUCACGGUCAGCUUGUCACUGUCCGAUGGCCCAUUCUGGUGCCUCCGCCUUCGGCCUCAGGACCCCAAUUUGACCAUCAUGUUGAGCAUCGGCCUCAGGUCCAGAAGCAAGCCCAGGUUGCCAAGGUUUCCAGGUACUUCCAACUCCCCCGGGUCCUUCAAUGCUAAUGGCUUCAAAAGCCACAAUACCUUCUUUGACAGCGCCAAGAACCCCUACUCCAAGCCAAGGAUAUCAUCAGAUAGGUUCUGGAGCUAUCAACAGAAAAGCUAUUACUCAUGCGUGCUAUAUGAUCAAGGGCGCAUUUUCCCCCAUAUGUGUCUUGACACUGAAGCUAUUGCCGAAUUGCCAUGUUUCGAAGAAGCACUUGACUGCUUUCGUAAUGCUGGUCUGUUCCACUUUGUGACAGACAAGGAACAUUGGAAUGAAGAGCUAUUGCUUCAAUUCUAUGCCACUCUGCACAUCCGCGGCUACUACAGAGACAUCAAGACUUGGGUUCUCGAGUGGAUGACUGGAAAUGUUCGUCAUGAAGCCAAAGCUAUGGAUAUCAUUGAGCUUACAGGGCUAGCCACUCCAGGUGAACUGUAUGAGCCUAACUGUCAGCUACACCGCAAUGCUGUGGAGAGCAUCUUUCACAAGCCAGAACCAAACAUGAGCCAGAUGCUGAGCAUGAUGAAGCCUUUGCCAUCUGACGCUGAGUAUCCCACACAUUUCUUUGUUGAAGACCUUGAGUAUCUGCCUCGAACCAUAUAUCAUAUCAUCAGGCGAACUCUAUGGCCAGCCAAGCUUGAAGGAGCUAUGAAGACUUUGGUCUUCUACAUUCUCAAUGGCAUCAGCUUCAACACUCAGGAAUUCUUCAUAAGGCAACUUGCUGCUUCCGGCUCUGACCUAUUUGGUAUGAAGUUUUAUGCUCCAUGGUCCAUGCGCCUCAUCAAGCGACACUCAUCUGUCAAUUAUCAACCCUCUGCUCGCAAUCACAUAAUAUUUCUGCCCGAGGUUGAUAUCUCAGUUGAUGCUGUAUACUCUGACCCUGCCAAGAUGCCACUUUGUCUUCAGAACAUUGAGCACCAAAGCUUCACUCAGCCUAUUGAAGGUGUUCAAGAAGCAACAAGAUUCUAUCCACUGGCUGGUAACACCCGUCUGCCUCACAGAGUGCCAACUGAAGCCACUGAAAGCACCAUUGCGCCAAGCCUCGGAAGCGUUCUCGUGUUCUCAAUGACCGAGAGCUUCUUGUCGCUCUUCAUCAGAAGCAGGAUAAGCAUCAUUUCUGGCUCAAGCACCAAAUGCAAAGCCUCUUGGUGGAUGUCAAUUGCAUUCGCAACCUUGCCACCAAGAAUGCCUUUGUUGCUCAUGAAACUUGCCGAAGAUCAUGGAAGAGUUUGACUCUGCUCAGUGCUGAAGCUGAUCUUCAAGAUGAUGGCUUCAAUGAAAGAUUCCAGUUCGACUCCAGUCCUCCACGGACUGCUACCCUACAUCGACCUCCAUCUCUUGAAGACUCUGAAUAUUCUUCUUCCGUGGCAACAGUUAAUGCCAGAGUGAUCGAUGAUGAAGAUGACGCUACUUCAUCACCUCCAACUACAACUGCGCGCAUCGACACUGCACCAAGUUCAUCUCCUCCGCGAACCCACGACGACAACCCUGCUGCUUCACCUACUCAUGACGAGUAGAUGCUCUAUGUCUUCAAUCCUUUUUGGUCAUUACUGACAAAAGGGGGAGAAGCGUAUGAGUUGAUAGUCUUCAAGCGGGUUCAUAUGGGCGGUUGCAUUAUAUAUUGCUGCGUGCUUACAACUCUUGCGCUUUGAGACAUUUGGUUCUUUGAGUUGUAACACCUAAACUUGAUGGUCGUCUGCUACUUCUGCUACUUAUUUGCUUUACUAUGAUGCGAUGAUAAAUUCCGCAUGUGCGAUGAUAACUUCCGCACUUAGAUCAUUCUGCAGACGUCCAUUUUUCAUUAUGCAUGUCAUUCUUAUUGCUAUAUCACUUCAUGCAUGAUGAAUCAUCUUCAUAAGUUGAAGUGGAUCUCCACAAGUACAACCUUCCAUGUGCAUUGGCAUUCCAAAAGCAAAUUACUUAUAUGCACAUCUUCAGGGGGAGCCCUUGCAACUUAUGAAGACAAUUUCCUAUCCUUACAAUUUCACAUACUUUAUCCCCGUUGAAAACUUCAACCAGUUUGUCAUCAAUCACCAAAAAGGGGGAGAUUGUAAGUGCAUCUAGUGCCACCCCUAGUUGGUUUUGGAGUAUUGAUGACAAAGUUGGUUGAGGGACUAAUGCGUUUGUGAGAAUUGCAGGAUAACGCAGGUAGUGUCCCUCAUUGAUUCGGUUUACCUACCGGAGAUGACCCCUAAAAAUGUAUGAAGACAUUGAAGACAAUGGUGGUAUGAGAAGAUAUUCAUAUUGAAGACUAUGACAAGAUAAGACAUUGCGUGAAGACUUUGAAGCGCGAAGACUGUGUGGUUUCGUUGUUUUCUUUUCUUCUUUGUUGAGUCAUAGGAACCACCGUACUGUUAAGUGGGGUCCAAGUGAACUAAGUCAGAGUGACUGAAGUGAUGCUCAACCAAAAUCCUAUGUCUUCGAGCGAAGACAAUGAGAGCAAAUCUUAUCCAGUGUUGGAUGAGUCAGCUUUGCUUGUAGCCCAAGUAAAGUUGCCGCGUGUGUUUGAAAUCUGACCGUUGGAACACGUGUCAGUUCCUUAGUGACCCAGGGUCAUUUUGGACAAAUUAGGUCGGGUUGCCUAGUGGCUAUAAAUAGCCCACCCCCUACACCAUAAAUUGGUGGCUGCUCAGAGUUUGUGCACGGCUUUUGUCGUUUGAGAGCAACCCACCUUGAAGCAUUUGAGAGAGAGAAAUCCUUGCGAGGAUAAAGCCCAAACAC
rnacentral:lncRNA from 1 species